rnacentral:lncRNA from 1 species
AAUUAGUAUACAUGUUUUUUAGCAGUAACUCUAAAUCAGUGAUGCGAUUAAAUUUUACGAUUUUCUUCAUUAUUUCGUUUCUGAUGUAAUAUUGUGUAAACCUACAUCUAAAUGUGCAACCUCCGUCGUACAAGGCUUAGUCUUACUUUAAACGAAAUGCAAACUCAAAAAUUUUGAAAUGCAAACUAAUGUGAAUGUACUCAAUGUAUACGUGAUAGUACGAGUAACAUGCAAACAAAGUAAAGAAACAGGCCGUACGGUGACCUAUAGUUGUUAAUUUCUGUGUCAUUUUGAUCUCUUGUGGAGAAUUUUCUCAUUGGCAAUCAUACCACAUCUUAUUUUUUAUAAUUCAUCACUCAAAACGAAACACUCCACAUCAUUUUCGGAGACAACAAGUGAAAAGGAAAGAAUAAUCAGUUUCAGACAUAUUCAAUUCUACGAGAUCAAGAAGUUUUUUUAAAUUUAUUUUUCAAUCUGAAGUUUGUACAAACGCUAUAGUUGAUAUGGUGUAGUUGAUUAUUAAAAGUCAAACUUCGCCAGGAAUCCUCACAGACAAGCCUGAUAAUGCCAGAGGACAAACUUCAAUUCUAAAAGCGUAAAUUUAUGACUUGGAUGAAAGGUUGCCAAAUUGACACUCAUACCACAUCUUAUAUUUAUGUGUAGGGUACUAUUGAUAAGGCUUGCAAGCACCAACUCAAACUACCGGUUAACCGGUUAAUCGGUCAAACGAUUAUCCGAGUAACCGCUUAGGCAAAAACGUACGAUUUGACAACACUAAUAUAUACAAAGAAUAAAGUGUAUUUUCAGAAUUCUAUCUGCUAUCAUUUUCAAGUUUACUAUCCACGGCGGUCACAGAGUUUAUUAAAUAGAGAGAGUCUGUAUACUAUAUCAAUGACCACCAUGGAUCGAUUAGUAAACUUAGAAAGUAAAUACACUAUAUUUGUAUAGUAAUGAAUGGUCAUAAUAUACAGAUAAGCGCUAAAAAUAUUCAUGUGACCUUUUGAUACCUUUUCUGAAAUUCUCCAGUCAUUAAAUCUUUUACAAAAUUCAUUGAUUACAAAAAAAAAAAGAUGUGUUUUGAUUGCCAUGUUGAGAUAACUCUCCACAAGAGACCAAUAUGACACAGAAAUUAACAACUGUAGGUCACCGUACGACCUUCAACAACGAGCAAAGCCCAUACCGCAUACUCAGCUUUAAAAGGCCCCGAACUGACAAUGUAAAGACGUUACGCGCG